CUCCUGACCUCAAAUGAUCCAGGCCGCCUCUGCCUCCCAAAGUGCUGGUAUUACAGGCAUGAGCCACCAUGCAUGGCCGACCUCAGAUGAUUUAGAUGGUGGCUGAACACACUUUGGGAACACUAAUAUGAGGACAUGCAGACAUAUGGUCCAUGGGUAAGGGUCUUAAUCUGUUUGUGUUGCUAUAAAGGAAUACGGGAGGCUGGAUAAUGUAUGAAGAAAAGAGGUUUAUUUGACUCAUGGUUCUGCAGGCUAUCAGCUUCAGAUGAGGGCCUUAUGCUGCUUCCACUCAUGGCAGAAGGCAAAGGGGAGCCUUCGUGCAGAGAUCACAUGGCUAGAGUGCAAGAUGGGCAUCAGGGGAGAGAAAGGGAGAAGAUGAUGCUAGGCUUUUUUCAACAACCUGUUCUCAAGGGUGAUAAUUCACUCUCAGGAGAAUAGCACCAAGCCAUUUGUGAGGAAUUCACUCAUAUGGCCCAAACACCUCCCAUCAGGCCCCAACUCCAGCACUGGGACUCAUAUUUCAACAUGACACUUUGCAGGUCCAAAGCCAUACCCAAACCAUAGCAGGGAGCUUAUUAAUUUAUUAGCCUCCGUGAAAUUUAGAAUUAUAGAAUGUGAGAGCUGAGAAGGAACCUCAGCCUGUCUCAUGAUUGAAGAAACUGGAGUUUGGACAGGUUAAGUAAUUUGUCUCAGACACCAAGGAAGUGAAUGGGGAAAUGUGGAAUAGAACUCAGGUCUCUUGACUCAUGUUUUAGACAUUAAAUGAAUAGGUUAUUAAAUGAAUUAUUCCAUAUGAAUAAUUUCAUGUAGAAGGAAGAAAUGCUAUGUGCAAGGUAGACAGAAAGUACACAAGAAGCCUCAUUUGGUGCAGGAGUUCAUUUUACGGAAGCUACCUCCUAAAUUUAGUAGAACAAAACCAGUCUAUGCCCCCUCUCCUGCAAACCAACGGUUUGAUCUUGAUCAUGUCAACUCACCUUUCUAACCAGAGUUUCUACUCUAGUACAUCAUUCAAGUAUUUCUUGAGCAACUAAAACAGUGAUGUUGUGGAUAAAGCAGUAAACCAGAUACAGAGUGUGCCUCACACCGUCAUCAUGCUGCUUCUACUCAGUCUGACACAUUUCAAUGGUGAACCUAUUAAGCAGGGUCUAGAGUCUGAAUUCCUUGUUUUCUAAACUGCCUAGCUUAUAGCUGGGGAAUGCUAGGAAAAUGCCAAGUUAGAUGUUUACGUUUCUUGCCUCAAAAGGUUCACUGGAUUCUGAGUUCGCUGAUGGGUUAGAACUGAAAUCCCUCAUCUCUUGCAGUGGGUCUAGUCUCUAGAUUCGCUGCUGUGUCAGCUGAUACCCUCAAUGCCCCAGCACCAGCCUAUCUGGCUCCCUAUUCUGCCACUGGCUACAUUUUCAGGAGAUAACAGAGGAGAUGCAGGCAUUGUGUGGUAGGCCAAAUAAUCCCCCCCUCCCCCAAAGAUGUCCAUGCUAUAAUCCCUAGAAUCUGUAAAUAUGUUAUCUUACAUGGCAAAAGAGACUUUGCAGGUGUAAUUAAGGUUAAGAACCUUGAGAGGAGGGAAUUAUCCUGGAUUAUUCAAGUAGGCCCAGUGUAAUCACGAGUCCUUAAAAGUGGAAGAGGAAGGCAGAAGAGUUGCUGACUUUGAAGAUUGAGGAAGGGGUUCAUGAACUAGGGCGUGUGAGUGGCUUCUAGAAGCUGGAAAGAACCCUCAGCUGACCGCCAACAAGGAAAUGGAGAUUUCAGUCUUACAGACUCAAGGAACAAAAUUCUGCCAAUGGUCAAUGUACAAGAAAAUAGAUUUUUCCCUUGAGCCUCCAGAAAGGAACCUAGCCUUGCUGACACUUUGAUUUUAGACUGGUGAAAUUCAUGCUGAACUUAUGACCUACAGAGUUGUAAAAAAAAAUAAAU